rnacentral:rRNA from 1 species
CGAAUGCUAACGUCCGUCGUGAAGAGGGAAACAACCCUAACCUCCAGCUAAGGCCCCUAAUUCAUGGCUAAGUGGGAAAGCAGGUGGGACGACCAAAACAACCAGGAGGUUGGCUUAGAAGCAGCCAUCCUUUAAAGAUAGCGUAACAGCUCACUGGUCUAAUUAAGUUGUCCUGCGGCGAAGAUGUAACGGGGCUCAAGCCAUGAGCCGAAGCUGAGGACUGCAUAGCAGUGGUAGCGGAGCGUAGUGU